AUUGAACGCUGGCGGCAUGCCUUACACAUGCAAGGCGAACGGCAGCACGGGAGCAAUCCUGGUGGCGAGUGGCGAACGGGUGAGUAAAGUAUCGGAACGUGCACAGUCGUGGGGGAUAACGUAGCGAAAGUUACGCUAAUACCGCAUACGAGCUAUGGAUGAAAGCGGGGGAUCGCAAGACCUCGCGCGAUUGGAGCGGCCGAUAUCUGAUUCGGUGGUUGGUGGGGUAAAGGGUCACCAAGCCGACGAUCUGUAGCUGGUCUGAGAGGACGACCAGCCACACUGGGACUGAGACACGGCCCAGACUCCUACGGGAGGCAGCAGUGGGGAAUUUUGGACAAUGGGCGAAAGCCUGAUCCAGCCAUGCCGCGUGCAGGAUGAAGGCCUUCGGGUUGUAAACUGCUUUUGUACGGAACGAAAAGGUUUGGGCUAAUAAGCUGAGCUCAUGACGGUACCGUAAGAAUAAGCACCGGCUAGCUACGUGCCAGCCGCCGCAGUAA
rnacentral:rRNA from 1 species